rnacentral:sRNA from 1 species
GAGCGAUCAUAAGGGAGCUGACUGCAAAUCUGCCGUCAUCGACUUCAAGGUUCGACUCGAGCAAUAGUGAGAGAACGUUGCCGCAGGCAACGGCCCG